rnacentral:rRNA from 1 species
CGCCCAAGGUAAGUCGGGAGCUAAGCUCAGGCCGAGAGGCGUAGGCGAUGCACAUACGGUAGAAAUUCCGUAACCACCGAAACUUAAACAGAGGGACACUUCGAAAUAGCGGAACCCGGGCGUUGGUUGACCCGGGCGAAAGGGAGCGAAAUUAGAGUAGCGAAGUCCGCGAUGUUCGGAGGCGAGAAAAGCUCUGAGGUAUGCUAAGGUGCCCGUACCGCAAACCGACACAGGUAGAUGAGGAGAGAAUCCUAAGGCCAACGGGAGAAGGGUUGUUAAGGAACUCGGCAAAUUGACCCCGUAACUUCGGAAGAAGGGGAGCCCCCUACGGGGGGUCGCAGAGAAAUGGCCCAAGCAACUGUUUACCAAAAACACAGGUCUAUGCUAAAUCGAAAGAUGACGUAUAUGGGCUGACGCCUGCCCGGUGCCGGAAGGUUAAGAGGAGAUGUCAGGCAACGAAGCAUUGAAUUUAAGCCCCGGUAAACGGCGGCCGUAACAAUAACGGUCCUAAGGUAGCGAAAUUCCUUGUCAGGUAAGUUCUGACCCGCACGAAUGGCGUAAUGAUUUGGGCACUGUCUCAACAGCCCGCCCGGCGAAAUUGUAGUACUGGUGAAGAUGCCAGUUACCCGCAACUAGACGGAAAGACCCCAUGGAGCUUUACUGCAGCUUAAUACUGAAAUUCGGUAGUACAUGUACAGGAUAGGUGGGAGACUGAGAAAUACAGGCGUCAGCUUGUAUGGAGUCGCUGUUGGGAUACCACUCUUGUACUGCUGGGUUUCUAACCUGCGGCCGUGAAUCCGGUCGGGGGACACUGUUAGGCGGGCAGUUUGACUGGGGCGGUCGCCUCCCAAAAGGUAACGGAGGCGCUCAAAGGUUCGUUCAGCACGGACGGAUAUCGUGCAAUGAGUGUAAACGCAUAAACGAGCCUAACUGCGACACCGACGGGUGGAGCAGUAACGAAAGUUGGAGUUAGUGAUCCGGUGGUAUGUGAGUGGAAAUGCCAUCGCUCAACGGAUAAAAGCUACCCUGGGAUAACAGGCUGAUCUCCCCCAAGCGUCCACAGCGACGGGGAGGUUUGGCACCUCGAUGUCGGCUCGUCGCAUCCUGGGGCUGAAUUCGGUCCCAAGGGUUUGGCUGUUCGCCAAUUAAAGCGGCACGCGAGCUGGGUUCAGAACGUCGUGAGACAGUUCGGUCCCUAUCUGUUGCGGGCGUAAGAGAUUUGAAGGGAGCUGUCUUAGUACGAGAGGACCGGGAUGGACGUACCUCUGGUGCACCAGUUGUCCUGCCAAGGGCAUAGCUGGGUAGCUAUGUACGGACGAGAUAAACGCUGAAAGCAUCUAAGCGUGAAACUCCCCCUAAGAUGAGAUCUCUCAUCCUUCAAGGAGUAAGGACCCAGAAAGACGAUCUGGUUGAUAGGCCGAAGGUGGAAGCGCAGUAAUGUGUGGAGCUGAUCGGUACUAAUAGUCCGAGGGCUUGACC